AAUCAACGCUGGCGGCGUGCCUCAGACAUGCAAGUCGAACGAUUAAAGCUCUCUUCGGAGAGUGUAUAGAGUGGCGCACGGGUGAGUAACACGUAAGUAAUCUACCUUCGAGUGGGGAAUAACGUCCGGAAACGGACGCUAAUACCGCAUAAUGCAGCGGCAUCGCAAGAUGACAGUUGUUAAAGAUUUAUCGCUUGAAGAGGAGCUUGCGGCAGAUUAGCUAGUUGGUAAGGUAAUGGCUUACCAAGGCUACGAUCUGUAACCGGUCUAAGAGGACGGUCGGUCACACUGACACUGAAUAACGGGUCAGACUCCUACGGGAGGCAGCAGCCGGGAAUUUUGGGCAAUGGGCGAAAGCCUGACCCAGCAACGCCGCGUGAAGGAUGAAGUAUUUCGGUAUGUAAACUUCGAAAGAAUAGGAAGAAUAAAUGACGGUACUAUUUAUAAGGUCCGGCUAACUACGUGCCAGCCGCCGGGUAACAC
rnacentral:rRNA from 1 species